UCAUCUUCGGGGGUAGAGCACUGUUUCGGCUAGGGGGCCAUCCCGGCUUACCAACCCGAUGCAAACUACGAAUACCGAAGAAUGUUAUCACGGGAGACACACGGCGGGUGCUAACGUCCGUCGUGAAGAGGGAAACAACCCAGACCGCCAGCUAAGGUCCCAAAGUCAUGGUUAAGUGGGAAACGAUGUGGGAAGGCACAGACAGCCAGGAUGUUGGCUUAGAAGCAGCCAUCAUUUAAAGAAAGCGUAAUAGCUCACUGGUCGAGUCGGCCUGCGCGGAAGAUGUAACGGGGCUAAACCAUGCACCGAAGCUGCGGCAGCGACACUAUGUGUUGUUGGGUAGGGGAGCGUUCUGUAAGCCGUUGAAGGUGUGCUGUGAGGCAUGCUGGAGGUAUCAGAAGUGCGAAUGCUGACAUAAGUAACGAUAAAGCGGGUGAAAAGCCCGCUCGCCGGAAGACCAAGGGUUCCUGUCCAACGUUAAUCGGGGCAGGGUGAGUCGACCCCUAAGGCGAGGCCGAAAGGCGUAGUCGAUGGGAAACAGGUUAAUAUUCCUGUACUUGGUGUUACUGCGAAGGGGGGACGGAGAAGGCUAUGUCAGCCGGGCGACGGUUGUCCCGGUUUAAGCGUGUAGGUGUGUGUUCCAGGCAAAUCCGGUUCACUUUAACACUGAGGCGUGAUGACGAGGCACUACGGUGCUGAAGUGAUAAAUGCCCUGCUUCCAGGAAAAGCCUCUAAGCAUCAGGUAACACGAAAUCGUACCCCAAACCGACACAGGUGGUCAGGUAGAGAAUACCAAGGCGCUUGAGAGAACUCGGGUGAAGGAACUAGGCAAAAUGGUGCCGUAACUUCGGGAGAAGGCACGCUGAUAUGUAGGUGAAGUCCCUGCGGACGGAGCUGAAAUCAGUCGAAGAUACCAGCUGGCUGCAACUGUUUAUUAAAAACACAGCACUGUGCAAACACGAAAGUGGACGUAUACGGUGUGACGCCUGCCCGGUGCCGGAAGGUUAAUUGAUGGGGUUAGCGGCAACGCGAAGCUCUUGAUCGAAGCCCCGGUAAACGGCGGCCGUAACUAUAACGGUCCUAAGGUAGCGAAAUUCCUUGUCGGGUAAGUUCCGACCUGCACGAAUGGCGUAAUGAUGGCCAGGCUGUCUCCACCCGAGACUCAGUGAAAUUGAACUCGCUGUGAAGAUGCAGUGUACCCGCGGCAAGACGGAAAGACCCCGUGAACCUUUACUAUAGCUUGACACUGAACACUGGUCCUUGAUGUGUAGGAUAGGUGGGAGGCUUUGAAGCGUGGACGCCAGUCUGCGUGGAGCCGUCCUUGAAAUACCACCCUUUAAUGGCUGGUGUUCUAACGUGGACCCGU
rnacentral:rRNA from 1 species